AAGUAUUGUGUCUGAAUAAAGUAAUAAACUGUAAAUUUAUUUAUAAGAUUAACUAAUCUUCUAUACU
rnacentral:tRNA from 1 species